GCUGGUGUAGCUCAGUGGUAGAGCAACGGUUUUGUAAACCGUCGGUCGCAAGUUCAAAUCUCGUCACCAGCU
rnacentral:tRNA from 1 species